rnacentral:misc_RNA from 1 species
AAGUCGUAACAAGGUUUCCGUAGGUGAACCUGCGGAAGGACCAUUACCUAGAGUUUGUGGGCUUUGCCUGCUAUCCUCUACCCAUGUCUUUUGAGUACUUACGUUUCCUCAGCGGGUCCGCCCGCCGAUUGGACAAAAUUAAACCCUUUGCAGUUGCAAUCAGCGUCUGAAAAACAUAAUAGUUACAA